ensembl:lincRNA
GCUGGUCAAGCGGGCUCGGCAAGGCCAGGAUGAAGAGAAGCUACGAAUUUAGCAUUCCCAGAGACCCCCGAGUGGAUAUCCGCGUGGAAAGGAUGUUGGCAGCCCCGGUGACCUCGGAGUCACGGCUGGAUCCACCCUCUUGUCUGAUUUUCUUAACUCGACUACGAUAAGAAGAUGCCCUCCAUCAGCAGGCCGUGCUUGCUCGUGGGCCUCUCUGGAGACUUCCUGAACCCUGUGGAUUUACAGUAAGAUGCAGUUUCCUGGGGAGUAAUUCUGGUGGAUACAAAUUCCAGAGUAGUACACCUGGCUUGCCUGGAGAUGUUACAAGUAGCUGGAUGGAUUCUUCAGCCUGGAUGCCCACUGAAAACAAGGACCGAAACUGAGAGGAUUGUAUCUCUACCCUUGACUCAAUGAGAAUAUUUGCUGUCAUCUCUCGGGCUACCUGGAGCUCCCUCUAAAAUGUAAGCCCCCAAGGCCCAUCUCCUUUCAAUGCAGUGUUUCUGGUAUUAUACCCUUUAAGCGUUCCAGAAGGAUUUUGAGAUCCUUUCCUAAAUCAAAGGUGGAAUAUUUGGGGAUUUGGAAAAUUGAGAUGAGAAGCGUUGACUUAAGAGAUGCCAAGUAACUCAGCAGAUGUCACACAGACGAUAAAUAGCAAAGAUGGAAGUCUUCAUGCCGGAGGCAAUCCUAUAAGACAGCUGAGCUCUGCAGAGCUGGUAGGAGACAGACUUGCUCAGGUGAUAGAUCCAGCCAUGAUAUUGACCCUAAGAGAAUGAGACACACUGCAGAAGACAGAAGAUUCCUGAAACUGGGAAAGGUGCCUAGAAAUCCUGAGAAGAGUGACGAAGUAGCUGGCAGAGCAGCCUUCCUCCGCACUAUGAAAGACAUCCAACAGAGAGCUAGUUCCCACCUCACUUCCAGCUUGACUCCUCUUUAUCUCCUAACUGCGUGCGGUCUGUGAUGUCUUCAGCAGUGGUAUUAACUAGUUCUGGGUACCUGGAGGCACAGCAGCCAUGUUGAACCUAUGAGGUGAUGAAAAACCAUGCAACUAGAAACCAGAAUGGAAGAAAAGAAGAAACUGGAUCCUUGACUGAAUUGUCGAUGGGGGAUAGUCCAUCAUCCCAGGGCUAAGACCACCUCCAGAUUUCUUGUUUGGUGAAACAAGUCCUGAUUGCUUACAUUCCCUCGUGUUGAGCUGUCUCUUGCUUGUCGCUGAAAGCAUUUCUAAUAGAUAUUCAGAUUAUCAGCCUUAGCUCCAAGCCAGAAUACUCUAUGGGACCUUAGCUUCUCCAUGAAUUCCUUUGCUCAUCUGUGUAAUGCUCAAUAAAUGUAAAUUGAACCCUGAAUGAGGGACAAUGACACUAUUGAAGUCAUGAUUGUCAAUCUUAUUAACGGACUAACUACUUAACAAAAAGGUUGGAACACUGCCUGACGCACAGUAAGCGGCUGGGGAAAGGGUUUGCCAGAUGGAGUGAGAAGGAAACAGUCAUGUUUAUAGGCUUUCUUUUACAUCUUGAUCCAUCGUCAAGCCUCUAUGGUCUUUAAGCAGAACCUUGACCCCUUCAGUACUGGGGCUCCUGGAGCAUGACACGCCCCCUAAACUCUUGUCUCCAAACACCCACUCUAGCAGUUUCUUUUUGACAAAAAAAGCCUUCUUAGUGAAUGCUGGCUUGUGAAAAAGAAGGGGCUGUGAUCAUCAGAUCGUGUUAGUAGAUGACCAAAAUACCCAAAGCAAUUCAUGCAAAUAGAUUCAAGUCUCUCUGGGCAAGCCUUCCUGAAGGCUCUAGAAUUUCUGAAGCUCAUUUUUGAAAGGGUCUUUCCAUAUGGUGGCCUUUUUCUUUUUUUGCACCUCCUCCCUUCUUUCUCAUCAGAGCUAAAGGGAUGCUCAGACUCUCUGUCCUUUCUGUGUAGUGAGGGACCAGGCUGCUGGGCGAGUGUGAAGGAGCGAGUGCGAUUUGGGAUAUUCCUUUCUGGUAUGGCCAUGGCCAGCCUUUAGAGAGGUCAUUUGAAGUUGGCCAACAAGUAGACAUUAUUUCAAAAUAGUUCUUGAUCAUUAAAGAACCAACCAGUAUGUCUUAAAAACAAACAAACCAAUCUUUUGGAAAGUUUCUGCUGAAUGUGUGCCCUUCCGACUCACUUCUUAUCCUUUCUGUCAGAAACACCCCAGAAAAGGGGGCCUUGCCUUUGAACCACUCCGCUACUUAAAUCUUCCUGCUUCUGUCUGACCUACCUUCCUUCUUUCAGCAGCCAGGAUCCUUUCAGAGUGAGCUCCAAAAGGUGGGGAUUCUCCAGCCACGAGUGCCCUCUGAAAUUCUAUCUUACUUAGAAUAAAAUCUCUAGAUUUAUACAGUGUCCCCUGUAUGGGUGGUGGCUUAUUUUUUUUUCUAUCACUUUCCUCCUUGUUCACACCACUCUCUCCCUGGCCUUCUUAUGUCACAGAUUUCCUGAGUACACUCUGGCCUCAGUCUUUCCAUGAAGUAACUCUCCUUUCUAGAACAUUCUUGCCUGCAUAACUAUCUGCUUCUGUCCUCACUAUAUUCUGGUCUGUAUUUCUAUGUCAAUUUCCAGACAGGCAUUCUCUGCCCAUCCUCUAAAGUGUGCCCCCUCUCUUCUUUGCUGUUAUCUGUAUGCCCUAAGUCUAAGUCACUGACCUUAUUGUAGACUAAAUUUGUUAGCAUUUCUUUCCAGGAUGCAAGCCUAGUGAUGAAGGAGUCAUUGUUCCAUUGUCAGAAUAGCUACAGAAUCCAGACUGUUCUGCCCUAGAUGCUUUACUAAAGUAAUGAAGCUCAAUAAAACAAUUUGACC